AUCACUAACUGUGUUUUCAUGGCAGAAAAGUCUGUCAAAAUGACAGGAAAUCUCUUCUGUUAUUGACUUCAUGCUCAGCAAGGCUUCUCAUCGCCAGUCCCGUUCUGGUUCUUCAUGUGGCUGGAAAUGGCUUCCAGGAGAAUUUGCUACAUCACUGCUGAGAUGGGAUGGACCAGUUUCUCGUUCCCUGGAGUCUCCUCCUUGAAGAUGGGUGUGGGAUUUGCUCUUUCUUUAGAGACCAUGAAGUCAUCUGAAGGAGAUGUUUCUAAGACAUGCUAAAGUAACUAAUUACUCCCUACUCCUGAAAAUCUUUUACAAGAACCUUUAAGAACUAUUUACAAGAUCAGGGCCUAUAAUUUUUAAAUAAAGCAAAGAUGCAUUUUAUUUCAGUAUGGUUAUUACACUUGCUUAUCUAAAGAAAACUCUGAUUACCAGCAUUAAUGUUUUCAAAGGCAUUCUGAUUCUUUGAGGACAUCCAGUGAAUGCUAAGACUCUUCCAAGCAUAUAUUGUAAAUAUGUUCCUCUUCACUUCCUUUUUAGACUGAAAUGACAUCCUUCUUGGUACCAAAGAAGGUCCCAUGUUUCUUCUCCACUGUGUUCAGGAGAAAACAGAUGUUUACCAGCAGCAGUAGUGAAAAUGUGCACUCACGUUUGCCUUGAUUUUGUUGAGACUCUCAUUCCUAAUAUCUCUUGUAAAUAUACACAGUUCCAUGUAGUUUCAUAUCGAGCAUUUCUAUAUAAGCUAUUUUUAUUGGAGAAUCUAGUUCUUCUGUAAUUUUUCAUGUUCAUAUUUUAGACAAGACUCUUCAGAAUUUAUUUACUUCUCAGUGAUAAAUUUUCUUAAUGUUCACAGAUAAAAUGUCAGUAUAAAAUCGUAAUUAUCAUGU